UACGAAGGGGGCAAGCGUUGUUCGGAAUUAUUGGGCGUAAAGGGCGCGUAGGCGGCAAAUUAAGUCAGCUGUGAAAUCUCCGAGCUUAACUCGGAACGGUCAGCUGAUACUGAUCUGCUAGAGUGCGGAAGGGGCAAUCGGAAUUCUUGGUGUAGCGGUGAAAUGCGUAGAUAUCAAGAGGAACACCUGAGGUGAAGACGGGUUGCUGGGCCGACACUGACGCUGAGUGCGCGAAAGCCAGGGGAGCAAACGGG
rnacentral:rRNA from 1 species